rnacentral:rRNA from 1 species
GCGUUAAGUUGCAGGGUAUAGACCCGAAACCCGGUGAUCUAGCCAUGGGCAGGUUGAAGGUUGGGUAACACUAACUGGAGGACCGAACCGACUAAUGUUGAAAAAUUAGCGGAUGACCUGUGGCUGGGGGUGAAAGGCCAAUCAAACCGGGAGAUAGCUGGUUCUCCCCGAAAGCUAUUUAGGUAGCGCCUCGUGAAUUCAUCUCCGGGGGUAGAGCACUGUUUCGGCUAGGGGGCCAUCCCGGCUUACCAACCCGAUGCAAACUGCGAAUACCGGAGAAUGUUAUCACGGGAGACACACGGCGGGUGCUAACGUCCGUCGUGAAGAGGGAAACAACCCAGACCGCCAGCUAAGGUCCCAAAGUCAUGGUUAAGUGGGAAACGAUGUGGGAAGGCCCAGACAGCCAGGAUGUUGGCUUAGAAGCAGCCAUCAUUUAAAGAAAGCGUAAUAGCUCACUGGUCGAGUCGGCCUGCGCGGAAGAUGUAACGGGGCUAAACCAUGCACCGAAGCUGCGGCAGCGAACGUAUCACCCAA